AAGGCCCUCUUCCCGCCCCCGCCCACCCGUACCGCUCCCUCUUUCAAGACUCCCACCCAUUAGGCUAAGACCUUUCCUCCAGACUCCAUCCGCUGGACUUCCAUCCCCCUCCUCAGCGCCCCCUGCCUAACGAUCCUCCCCCCGCCCGCCCUCAGGACAGCCUUCCUUCUCUCGAACCACCCCCUUCUCCUCCCUCCUCCAUCUCCCCGCUUUUAGACUCCCCCCUUCCAAAAGCCCCUUCUAGGAUCCCCUUCUCCCCACACUCUCCUCAAGACCCUUACCUUAAGUCCUUCCCCUCCCCCGUUUCCACAGCAACCCCCCUCCAAGCCCCCUUGGGCAUCCUCUCAGGGACCCGCGCCUCCCACCCCUACAGCCUGGGGGGGGGGGUUGCCUCAGUUUCCCCAGCCUAGCCCUCUGUCCAGGGAGGUCAGAGGUGUGUCUGUCUAUGGCUAUGUGUCCCCAGGACUCCAUGGACCCGUAGCGCCUCAUCUCCUGGGACCUCUGACUGCACCUCCCCUGGUUGCUGGCCCCUGAUAGAUUGAUCGAUUGAUUGACCGGGGAGGGGCCAGACUUCCAAGUCCAGCUGGAAGCCUCCCACUUGUCAUUCCUUUGUGGAGCUGAGAGCAUAGGAUGGAUUCGAGGGUGCCUGAGGCUCCCUGCUCCCUAGGCCAGGGAGAUGGGUAGGAGGGGUAGGAGAGGCCCUCCCCUCCCCACCAGCCCUCAUGUGGUUCUUCUGGGCCCUCCUUGUGUUGGUUCACCCCCUGGGGGGUCCCCCUCUGGGGCCCCCCAGCUGCCCUUGGGAGCCCCUCGAGGUUCUUAUGGCUAUCAUGGAGGCCCUAGGCGAUAGAAAUGACGGGACCCUUUACACUCCGGAUAGUCUCUCUGCUGGAGGCCUUUAGAGGCCUAGAUUUCCAGGGUCCCCUGUUACCACAUCUGGAGUGCCAGCAGGUCCUAGGGUAGGAGGGAACUAGGGAAGACCAGAGAAGGAAGAGAAGGCAGAUAUGACAGGUGAUGAUGCUGCUGCCCUCACCCCAAUGCGGCACCUUCCACCUUCCAUGGACAGGACUGCUUCCGCCUUUAGGAUCCCUAAAGUUCCCCUUUCUCCCAACCCCUCCCCAGGCUGUGUCCUGACCCUAGCACUUGGCUGGGCAUCCAGUUGGCAUUUACAUGUUUAUCAAAUAAAAGUGUGAAUAUCAGGGA